UACGAAGGGUCCAAGCGUUAUCCGGAUUUAUUGGGUUUAAAGGGUGCGUAGGCGGCUUAUUAAGUCAGUGGUGAAAGCCCGUAGCUUAACUACGGAACUGCCAUUGAUACUGAUGAGCUUGAAUAUACUUGAGGUUGGCGGAAUGUGUCAUGUAGCGGUGAAAUGCUUAGAUAUGACGCAGAACACCGAUUGCGAAGGCAGCUAGCUAAAGUACAAUUGACGCUGAUGCGCGAAAGCGUGGGGAGCAAACAGG
rnacentral:rRNA from 1 species